AGCCUAGCCAAACAGAAAGCGCAGGGAAGGCGAUGGGCGGAAGGUGCGCCUAUCGAGAAGCUGGGCGCCGGAAAAGCACGGGCCUAAGAUGGCGGCGCCCAUGGGUGCCAGGAGGAGCCGCUCAUGUCGGGGAACGGAGCGGUGUGGGGACGCGUGCGAGGCCGCCUCCGCGCCUUCCCCGAGCGCCUUGCGGCCUGUAGGGCCGAGGCCGCGGCUUAUGGCAGGUGUGUGCAGGCGUCCACGGCCCCGGGCGGCCGCCUGACGAAGGACCUCUGUGUGCAGGAGUUCGAGGCCCUGCGGAGCUGCUUCGCCGCCGCGGCCUCCCCAGGGGACAAGAUGAAGCUUCGCUGUGUGAUUACUGGUUGGAAGAAUUUAAGUGCAAGAUGAAGAUCAAACGUUGUGCGUGCUGCCCUCAGGAGCCCUCUGCUAUUUUAAUGUGCCAUUCUUCACGGAAGGCCAAGACGACCCCAAGGGGAGGCCUUUAGGAUGGACAAGCCUGCACUACAUUUGUGUUUGCUGCCCACAGCCUUGAGGGACAGACGCCUGAGACAUCUAAAGCUUUUAGAGCUAAAAGGACUGCACGCUCAUCAGAGCAAGACGUGGGCAGACGGGGGAUCUGGUUUUCUUGCCUCGUGUAUGUAAGGUUUCUGGUUAGAGUAAGAAACGACAAAGCAACAAUACAGACUGUGGCAGACCA